ensembl:lncRNA
GGCAUAUCUCUUCCUUCACCUGUCACUUAAUAGUUUUUGCAAAUAAAGUCCUGCAGGAGCUCGGGUCUCAGGAGGUUAUAUUCAAAAUGUUGCAUGUCUGUUUUACAAGAUUAAGAUUAAAACAUUUCAUCUUUUGGUCAUAUAAAUACAAACACAGUUGGACACGGUGAUGAGGACAGGGUCAUAAUGUCGUUAAACGCGAGUCACAAAUAGCAGAGCCCAGAUACAUCACUGCGCAGGGGCCCGGAGACACAUUCUGCUUUAGGGCCCCGUGAAAGCUGGGAGGACGACAGCGCCAUCUGCAGUCCGGCCUCUUCAGGACAGUAUCCCGGGUGUGUGAGAGUAAAAAAAAAAAGCCCCUUGUCCCGGUUUAACGUCAGCCCUGCACACAAGAACAGACAAAAACAAAAACAGCACAACCAGGUGAAGUUUGAAAUGCAGCAUUUUAUGACAUUAUAAAACUGUAUUUAAAUCACUCUCCACGUAUUCUCUCAAUAUUUAGAAUCAUAAGGCAAAGGUCAACAAUUAAUACCAGUGAACAAUUACAAUGAGCACGAACAUGAAGAAAUCUAAAAUGAGGUCUGUGGCAACGAAGACUCAACGAACGGCGCUUCAUACGAACUUAAACGAAACCAAAAAAAAAACAAAAAACAAAACAUCUUCUUCACAAAAGGAGCACACGGACGACUUCGGCGCUGGGGAAGACUCUGCUCGUAAAACGCAGGGAGCAGACUGGCAGUGGACGGUGGUGUUUGGACACGCGGGAGGACGACGAUAAGGCGAAAACAACUCGCGUUUAACGAUACGGGAAGAUGCUCGAACUCCAUAAAACUCUUCUUCUUUUUUUAGGUUUUUUUUUGUUGGGUUUUUUUUUUUUUUUCAAAACUACAAAAUUCCAUCGUUUCCAAAAAAAAAAAAAAAAAAAAAAAAGCAUUGAAAACUCGAGAUAAAAAAAUUGAACCCAAACAUUUGUACUCUAAAACAUUCAUAGUUUCAAGGCCUUUUGAUAUCGGUGUGUUAGUGAAGUGAGUGUUUUGUUUUGUUGUUUUUUUUUCUUUACAGUGCUUUUUUUAACCACUGGCAGCUGCGAGCGAACCCUGAUUCAUCUGUACCAAAGCUGCGCUCCUAUUUAAACAUGUGGCACUGUUACAUCCUUAGACUGUAAAUAUAUCUACAGUCUACAGCCCCGUUCACACACGCAACCCAGAAAAUUGCCGGGUAAAAACAUAAAAUAAAAAAAUAAAAAAGCCAGAAAUUCACCGUCUCUGUUCACACAUAACUUGGCAUUAAGUUUUCUGCGUUCUCUCUCACGUAAAAAAACCAAACAGCUACGUUAUUUAAAUAUAAGAAUGGAACAGAACUAGCGUAACCCGGAAACCACGCUAGUAACCGAGGAAACCGAGCGUUUAUAGUCGCUAGGUGUGAUGUCACUUCCUGGUCCAUCGGCUGAUUGAAACGUUUACAAUUUCCUUCUUUUUCCCCCCCUCACGUUUGCAGUCGUUUAAAGCUAGCGACGUUAUAACUGUGACGGGAAGCGUACAAAGGAAGUGGAGGUAAGAAGCUAGGCUAGGCUAAGCUACCGUUAGCAUUUACCGAAUUGGUGAGAUAUGCAGUUGUCCCUCGUUAUAUCGCGGUUCACUUUUCGCGGGUCUCGCUGUUUCGCGGAUGUUUUUAGUGUAAUUUUGCUUUUUUAUUUUAAACAUCGUAUGAACCUGCAUUGUGUUGUGCAUCCUGAUUGGCUGUUGGACUGUAGACCGUUGUGUUGUGCGUCCUGAUUGGCUGUUGGACUGUAGACCGUUGUGUUGUGCGUCCUGAUUGGCUGUUGGACUGUAGACCGUUGUCCCUCAGUCUCCUCCGUGUUCAGAGACGCCAGGACGAAGAGGCGCGGUCAGACGAACUGUGAAAUGUAAAAAAUGUAAAAAGUAAAGCUAUUUUGCGUUAUUUUUCGAUCGUAACCCCCAUGAUAAACGACAGAACACUGCACACACUCACACUCCUCUGUUACGCGAGAUUAUUACAACAUUAUUUACACAUUUGAUGCAAUCCGUGGUUAAACAUACACUUUCGAAAGGUAACUGUCUUUGAUUUGAUGAAUAAAGAACAAAAACAAAGCUCAGGUGUGACGUUUGUGGUUUGGACCUGGAAGUGACAACUCGGCGACUCAAUAACCGAGGAAAACGAGUUCAUAACACGGGAAAUAAAGAUGGUUUUGUCAACGUUCUGGCUUUAUCCCGCCUUCAACCUUCCCUGGAUAUACUUGGUCAUUUACUCGGGGGAAAUUGCCAGAUCGAAACGACGGUUUAAAUCGGUCGUGGCUUUGUUCGUUCGGGCUGCGUGUGUGAAUGGGGCUUCGUGGUUACGUCAUGAGAAAGUCCUGUGCAAAUCCGAGUCCGCUAAAGUGAGACAUGAGACGAAAACAAAACUCCAGACCCUCAAACGGGCAGUGCAAAUCAGAGCGGACAGCAAGUUUCAAGUUCAUAAAGUCCCUCUUCUUCAAAAAUACAAAAACAGGAAAUCGCACCUUAUUGGCCCACAAAAACCCAUGUGGCACAAAAGGUAAUUUCCUGUAAACAUCUGUCAAAUGUUUAUAAAACCUCCCUAGCAACAAAAAAAUAUACAUUUAUUUUCCAUUGACGU